rnacentral:misc_RNA from 1 species
AACACUCAACUUCCAUAGCUACUCCAUGCAUAUGUAACGGUAUGAACGCCGGCGGGUCGCACCUCCCGUGCACGUACGGCUGGUAGCUCGGCACGUCAGGAUUGUCCACCGCUUCUGGCUCUGGCACUACCGCAUAAACCAUCACCGCCAAAGGUAACAAGCUCUCCGAUGAUUUCGACAUUCCUGCCUCCGGCGCCGGAGGCAAUUCCUUGCCGUAGUAAAUUCUCUUUGAUAGCUUCAAGCCGUAGCCUACGCAUGUCUCAAACUCGUCAGCCAUGUCGCCGGACCUGUUCCCAAAAGAAAAUUUUCCGGCUAUGAGGAUGUGGAAAAAAAAA